rnacentral:rRNA from 1 species
UACGAAGGGUGCAAGCGUUACUCGGAAUUACUGGGCGUAAAGCGUGAGUAGGUGGUUUCUUAAGUCUGCUGUGAAAGCCCCGGGCUCAACCUGGGAAUUGCAGUGGAUACUGGGAAGCUAGAGUGCGGUAGAGGGUAGUGGAAUUCCCGGUGUAGCGGUGAAAUGCGUAGAGAUCGGAGGAACACCAGUGGCGGAAGGCGGCUACCUGGACCAGCACUGACACUG